AACGAACGCUGGCGGCAUGCCUAACACAUGCAAGUCGAACGAGACCUUCGGGUCUAGUGGCGCACGGGUGCGUAACGCGUGGGAACCUUCCCUUAGGUUCGGAAUAACUCUCCGAAAGGGGUGCUAAUACCGGAUAAUGUCUUCGGACCAAAGAUUUAUCGCCUUUGGAUGGGCCCGCGUUGGAUUAGCUAGUUGGUAGGGUAAAAGCCUACCAAGGCGACGAUCCAUAGCUGGUCUGAGAGGAUGAUCAGCCACACUGGGACUGAGACACGGCCCAGGCUCCUACGGGAGGCAGCAGUGGGGAAUAUUGGACAAUGGGCGAAAGCCUGAUCCAGCAAUGCCGCGUGAGUGAUGAAGGCCUUAGGGUUGUAAAGCUCUUUUACCCGGGAUGAUAAUGACAGUACCGGGAGAAUAAGCUCCGGCUAACUCCGUG
rnacentral:rRNA from 1 species